rnacentral:rRNA from 1 species
AACGAACGCUGGCGGCAGGCCUAACACAUGCAAGUCGAGCGAGGGCUUCGGUCCUAGCGGCGGACGGGUGAGUAACGCGUGGGAACGUGCCCUUUGCUUCGGAAUAGCCCUGGGAAACUGGGAGUAAUACCGGAUGAGCCCUUUGGGGGAAAGAUUUAUCGGCGAAGGAUCGGCCCGCGUUGGAUUAGGUAGUUGGUGGGGUAAUGGCCUACCAAGCCGACGAUCCAUAGCUGGUUUGAGAGGAUGAUCAGCCACACUGGGACUGAGACACGGCCCAGACUCCUACGGGAGGCAGCAGUGGGGAAUCUUAGACAAUGGGGGAAACCCUGAUCUAGCCAUGCCGCGUGAGCGAUGAAGGCCUUAGGGUUGUAAAGCUCUUUCAGCUGGGAAGAUAAUGACGGUACCAGCAGAAGAAGCCCCGGCUAACUCCGUG